rnacentral:lncRNA from 1 species
CUGGACUAUUCCCACCAGCUGCAUGCUAUUUUUGACCCCUUUUACCUAUUCACAUAAAACAUCUUCACCUUGAAGUGUCUUAGGAAAGAGAAUACAAUUAGAUCUUCCAUUUGGCCUUAAACAAUUAUAUAUCAAGAAAAAUGUUUUGAUGGCAAACACUUUCUCUCUCGUACACUUAAGAUCAUUUGUUAAACUUUGUAACCCAUUUAAGUUUGAGUCCCCAGUAGGAAGACAAAGGUGUUAUUGAAUCCUUCUUUGUCAAUUUAGGUAA